rnacentral:rRNA from 1 species
UGGGGAAUAUUGCGCAAUGGGGGGAACCCUGACGCAGCCAUGCCGCGUGAAUGAAGAAGGCCUUCGGGUUGUAAAGUUCUUUCGGUAUUGAGGAAGGUUGAUGUGUUAAUAGCACAUCAAAUUGACGUUAAAUACAGAAGAAGCACCGGCUAACUCCGUGCCAGCAGCCGCGGUAAUACGGAGGGUGCGAGCGUUAAUCGGAAUAACUGGGCGUAAAGGGCACGCAGGCGGUUAUUUAAGUGAGGUGUGAAAGCCCUGGGCUUAACCUAGGAAUUGCAUUUCAGACUGGGUAACUAGAGUACUUUAGGGAGGGGUAGAAUUCCACGUGUAGCGGUGAAAUGCGUAGAGAUGUGGAGGAAUACCGAAGGCGAAGGCAGCCCCUUGGGAAUGUACUGACGCUCAUGUGCGAAAGCGUGGGGAGCAAACAGGAUUAGAUACCCUGGUAGUCCACGCUGUAAACGCUGUCGAUUUGGGGGUUGGGGUUUAACUCUGGCGCCCGUAGCUAACGUGAUAAAUCGACCGCCUGGGGAGCACGGCCGCAAGGUUA